UUCAUAAUAACUAAACGAAUCGCAUGGCCUUGCGCCGGCGAUGGUUCAUUCAAAUUUCUGCCCUAUCAACUUUCGAUGGUAGAGUAGUGGUCUACCAUGGUCUCAACGGGUAACGGGGAAUUAGGGUUCUAUUCCGGAGAGGGAGCCUGAGAAACGGCUACCACAUCCAAGGAAGGCAGCAGGCGCGCAAAUUACCCAAUCCCAAUUCGGGGAGGUAGUGACAAUAAAUACUGAUACAGGGCUCUUUUGGGUCUUGUAAUUGGAAUGAGUACAAUCUAAAUCCCUUAACGAGGAACAAUUGGAGGGCAAGUCUGGUGCCAGCAGCCGCGGUAAUUCCAGCUCCAAUAGCGUAUAUUAAAGUUGUUGCCGUUAAAAAGCUCGUAGUUGAACCUUGGGCCUGGCUGAUCUGUCCUCCUAAUCGAGCGCACGGAUUCGGUCGGGCCUUUCCUUCUGGGGAGCCGCAUGCCCUUCACUGGGCGUGUCGGGGAACCAGGACUUUUACCUUGAAAAAAUUAGAGUGUUCAAAGCAGGCCUUUGCUCGAAUACAUUAGCAUGGAAUAAUAGAAUAGGACAGAGGUUCUAUUUUGUUGGUUUCUAGGACCGCUGUAAUGAUUAAUAGGGAUAGUCGGGGCGUCCGUAUUCAAUUGUCAGAGGUGAAAUUCUUGGAUUUAUUGAAGACGAACUACUGCGAAAGCAUUCGCCAAGGAUGUUUUCAUUAAUCAGUGAACGAAAGUUAGGGGAUCGAAGACGAUCAGAUACCGUCGUAGUCUUAACCAUAAACUAUGCCGACUAGGGAUCGGACGGUGGUUUUUUUAUGCCCCGUUCGGCACCUUACGA
rnacentral:rRNA from 1 species